GGGCGGAGCGGCCGUCGGUGCA
rnacentral:sRNA from 1 species